rnacentral:misc_RNA from 1 species
UGUGGGAGCGAGCUUGCUCGCGAUAGCGUCGGAUCUGCCAGCAUCGAUAUCGACGGGUACACCGCUAUCGCGAGCAAGCUCGCUCCCACA